rnacentral:rRNA from 1 species
UGGGGAAUUUUGGACAAUGGGCGAAAGCCUGAUCCAGCAAUGCCGCGUGUGUGAAGAAGGCCUUCGGGUUGUAAAGCACUUUUGUCCGGAAAGAAAUCCUUGGCUCUAAUACAGUCGGGGGAUGACGGUACCGGAAGAAUAAGCACCGGCUAACUACGUGCCAGCAGCCGCGGUAAUACGUAGGGUGCAAGCGUUAAUCGGAAUUACUGGGCGUAAAGCGUGCGCAGGCGGUUUGCUAAGACCGAUGUGAAAUCCCCGGGCUCAACCUGGGAACUGCAUUGGUGACUGGCAGGCUAGAGUAUGGCAGAGGGGGGUAGAAUUCCACGUGUAGCAGUGAAAUGCGUAGAGAUGUGAGAAUACCGAUGGCGAAGGCAGCCCCCUGGGCCAAUACUGACGCUCAUGCACGAAAGCGUGGGGAGCAAAACAGGAUUAGAUACCCUGGUAGUCCACGCCCUAAACGAUGUCAACUAGUUGUUGGGGAUUCAUUUCCUUAGUAACGUAGCUAACGCGUGAAGUUGACCGCCUGGGGAGUACGGUCGCAAGAUUAAAACUCAAAGGAAUUGACGGGGUCAUAGCUG